GAUGAACGCUGGCGGCGUGCCUAAUACAUGCAAGUCGAGCGAACAGAUGAGGAGCUUGCUCCUCUGACGUUAGCGGCGGACGGGUGAGUAACACGUGGAUAACCUACCUAUAAGACUGGGAUAACUUCGGGACACCGGAGCUAAUAGCGGAUAAUAUAUUGAACCGCAUGGUUCAAUAGUGAAAGACGGUUUUGCUGUCACUUAUAGAUGGAUCUGCGCCGUAUUAGCUAGUUGGUAAGGUAACGGCGUACCACGGCAACGAGGCGUAGCCGAACGGAGAGGCUGGUCGGCGACAUGAGAACGGAGACACGCUCCAGACGCCUACGGGAGGCAGCAGUAGGGAAUCUUCCGCAAUGGGCGGAAGCCUGACGGAGCAAGGCCGCGUGAGUGACGACGGCCUUCGGAGCGGAAAACUCUGUUACUGGGGAAGAACAAAUGUGUAAGGAACCAUGCCCGUAGUGACGGUACCUAAUCAGAAAGCCACGGCUAACUACGUG
rnacentral:rRNA from 1 species